ACGAACGCUGGCGGCGUGCUUAACACAUGCCAGUCGAACGGAAAGGCCCCUUUGGGGGUACUCGAGUGGCGAACGGGUGAGUAACGCGUGAGUAACCUGCCCUUGACUUCGGGAUAACUUCAGGAAACUGGGGCUAAUACCGGAUAGGAAUCCUUGCUGCAUGGUGGGGGUUGGAAAGCUUCGGCGGUUUUGGAUGGACUCGCGGCUUAUCAGCUUGUUGGUGGGGUAGUGGCUUACCAAGGCUUUGACGGGUAGCCGGCCUGAGAGGGCGACCGGCCACAUUGGGACUGAGAUACGGCCCAGACUCCUACGGGAGGCAGCAGUGGGGAAUAUUGCACAAUGGGCGGAAGCCUGAUGCAGCAACGCCGCGUGCGGGAUGACGGCCUUCGGGUUGUAAACCGCUUUCAGCAGGGGCGAAGCUUGUGGUGACGGUACCUGCAGAAGAAGCACCGGCUAACUACGUG
rnacentral:rRNA from 1 species